rnacentral:lncRNA from 1 species
CGCGUCUCCUUUCUGAUGGGUAUGACGGCUGCGUGGUCCCAUUUUGUUUAUACUUGCGUACUAUUGUUUGUACAGAUGAACGUGGUACUUUCAGAUGUUUGGAAAUUGCUCCCAAGGAUGAACCAGAUUUGUGGAGGUCUACAAUUUUUUCUGAGGUCUUGGCUGUUUUCUUUUGAUUUCCCCAUGAUUUCAAGCAAAGAGGCACUGAGUUUGAAGGUAGCCUUGAAAUACAUCCACAGUGCUCAGCAUAUGUGGGAACUCCUUCAAGACUGUUGCAAAAGCAUUGCAGAUCCCAUUGUCAUGAGAAGGCGCAGGGAGGACGGAAGCGAGCGGUAGCAGCAUCAGGCAUCCACUCAAGGACUACAGGCGUGAUGGAAUCAAGGAGAUAAUCGGCGC